rnacentral:rRNA from 2 species
CCUGGCUCAGGACGAACGCUGGCGGCGUGCCUAAUACAUGCAAGUCGAACGAACUCUGGUAUUGAUUGGUGCUUGCAUCAUGAUUACAUUUGAGUGAGUGGCGAACUGGUGAGUAACACGUGGGAAACCUGCCCAGAAGCGGGGGAUAACACCUGGAAACAGAUGCUAAUACCGCAUAACAACUUGGACCGCAUGGUCCGAGUUUGAAAGAUGGCUUCGGCUAUCACUUUUGGAUGGUCCCGCGGCGUAUUAGCUAGAUGGUGAGGUAACGGCUCACCAUGGCAAUGAUACGUAGCCGACCUGAGAGGGUAAUCGGCCACAUUGGGACUGAGACACGGCCCAAACUCCUACGGGAGGCAGCAGUAGGGAAUCUUCCACAAUGGACGAAAGUCUGAUGGAGCAACGCCGCGUGAGUGAAGAAGGGUUUCGGCUCGUAAAACUCUGUUGUUAAAGAAGAACAUAUCUGAGAGUAACUGUUCAGGUAUUGACGGUAUUUAACCAGAAAGCCACGGCUAACUACGUGCCAGCAGCCGCGGUAAUACGUAGGUGGCAAGCGUUGUCCGGAUUUAUUGGGCGUAAAGCGAGCGCAGGCGGUUUUUUAAGUCUGAUGUGAAAGCCUUCGGCUCAACCGAAGAAGUGCAUCGGAAACUGGGAAACUUGAGUGCAGAAGAGGACAGUGGAACUCCAUGUGUAGCGGUGAAAUGCGUAGAUAUAUGGAAGAACACCAGUGGCGAAGGCGGCUGUCUGGUCUGUAACUGACGCUGAGGCUCGAAAGUAUGGGUAGCAAACAGGAUUAGAUACCCUGGUAGUCCAUACCGUAAACGAUGAAUGCUAAGUGUUGGAGGGUUUCCGCCCUUCAGUGCUGCAGCUAACGC